UGGACCUUUAGCUCAGUUGGUUAGAGCAGGCGGCUCAUAACCGCCCGGUCGUAGGUUCGAGCCCUACAAGGUCCAUC
rnacentral:tRNA from 3 species